rnacentral:rRNA from 1 species
GAUGAACGCUCGCUACAGGCUUAACACAUGCAAGUCGCGGGGCAGCAUGGGGGUUGCUUGCCAUCCCCGAUGGCGACCGGCGCACGGGUGAGUAACGCGUAUUCAACCUGCCCUUCACCACGGGAUAACCCGGCGAAAGUCGGACUAAUACCGUAUGUUGUCCAUUGACGGCAUCCGAUUUGGACGAAAGGCUUGGCGGUGAGGGAUGGGGAUGCGUCCGAUUAGCCAGACGGCGGGGUAACGGCCCACCGUGGCUACGAUCGGUAGGGGUUCUGAGAGGAAGGUCCCCCACACUGGAACUGAGACACGGUCCAGACUCCUACGGGAGGCAGCAGUGAGGAAUAUUGGUCAAUGGGCGUAAGCCUGAACCAGCCAAGUAGCGUGCAGGAUGACGGCCCUAUGGGUUGUAAACUGCUUUUAUGCGGGGAUAAAGUGGCCCACGUGUGGGCUUUUGCAGGUACCGCAUGAAUAAGGACCGGCUAAUUCCGUG